rnacentral:rRNA from 1 species
UACGGAGGAGGCAAGCGUUAUCCGGAAUGAUUGGGCGUAAAGCGUCCGCAGGUGGCAGUUCAAGUCUGCUGUCAAAGACCGGGGCUUAACUUCGGAAAGGCAGUGGAAACUGAACAGCUAGAGUAUGGUAGGGGCAGAUGGAAUUCCUGGUGUAGCGGUGAAAUGCGUAGAUAUCAGGAAGAACAUCGGUGGCGAAGGCGCUCUGCUGGACCAUAACUGACACUCAGGGAUGAAAGCUAGGGGAGCGAAUGGG